GCACACAUAUAUGCGGAUAAAAUUCACGUUUUUAGUCAAAUAGCGUUUAAAUUAACGUUCUUAAUCGAUACCGUUUGAAAAUACGCGCUUGGAAUUAAUUUCAUUUCGUGUCGAUUGCGGCGCGGCGUACGUAUGAUAUAAGUUGAGGACGUUUUCCCCCGCCAUCUUGAACAAUCCUUUCUUGUUAUUGUUGUUGCAUGUGGUCGGCGCCGUCGGUAAUGUCGGUAUGGUGUGGUCACUGUUUGCAGAUGCAGUUUGGAGUUUGGAGCAUGCUGGAGCACGUGGUACUUUGGCCUUUAUUAUCGGACUUCUUUUAACAAUCCACUGCAUCAGAAUAUAUAUUUUACAAUUUACAAUCGUAAUGUACUCCGAAUUAUCAAACGCCUUCGCAGCACAGUAUUAUUUGCAAAUAAUCGUCUUUUAUAGACGAUGCAUACGGCAUAACCUAUUAUCUAUGCAGGAAUACGGUAAGCUGCAGCCAGAGUUGCGCUGCAAUCAUAGAAACUUUUUUCUCCACUGAGAAGACACCUAACUAAAGAGACUAAUUAAUUUGUACAUUUCACUAAAUAUGUUUUAAAUUAAAAAAUUACUACAACGUAUUCUGUGAAAUGAAUUCUUCAUUUUGAUUCGCGUUUGAUUGAGAAGGAAUUUUGUUUUAUUACAUGAACGUUAAAUAUGAUGAAUGGGUAAUCAUCGAGAUCUAUGAACAACAUGAUUUAUAGUAUUUACUAUACUGAUCUUUAUUUGAAUCAGCCUGAAAUUUCAGCAGAAAAUAGCAAUCUUAACUAAUACAGUUUUUUUUUAUUACUUAGGUUGCCUGCAAAUCUCGAAUGAAACAGUAUCCUGAAAUUUAACAAAGGUUUGCAAAAUCCCUGGAAUCCGUAAUGGCAACGAUUGCAGAUCCUUGAUCUUCUGGUGUCUUUGUUAAACGGGUUUUUAUAUUAUAUUUAUAAAAUUAUAUAUUGCAAAAUUGAAUUGUAAAUAUUUAUGAA